UACGUAGGGCGCAAGCGUUGUCCGGAAUUAUUGGGCGUAAAGAGCUCGUAGGCGGUUUGUCGCGUCUGCUGUGAAAACCUCAGGCUCAACCUGGGGCUUGCAGUGGGUACGGGCAGACUAGAGUGCGGUAGGGGUGACUGGAAUUCCUGGUGUAGCGGUGGAAUGCGCAGAUAUCAGGAGGAACACCGAUGGCGAAGGCAGGUCACUGGGCCGCAACUGACGCUGAGGAGCGAAAGCAUGGGGAGCGAACAGA
rnacentral:rRNA from 1 species